UAAGCGGAGGAGAAGAAAUUAACUAAGAUGUCCUUAGUAAAGGCGAUUGAAGUGGCCAAAGCCCAAGAUGGAAAUCUUCGUGUUUGGCACGACGAAUUGUAAUCUAGAGAGUCAGGACUCAACAGGUGGUGGUGCAGAAGUGCCCUGGAACGGGCCGCCAAAGAGGGUGACAGCCCCGUCUGUGGUGCCGCCGCCUAACGAGUUCGGCUUCAAAGAGUCGGGUUGUUUUGUAUUGCAGCCCUAAGUGGGAGAUAAACUUCUUCUAAGGCUAAAUAUAUGUGGGAAACCGAUAGCGAACAAGUACUGUGAAGGAAAGAUGAAAAGCACUUUGAAAAGAGAGUUAAAAGACCUGAAACCGUUGAGGAGGAAGCGGUAGAGAUGAAUUCUACGGUGAGGCAUGGGGAAAAUAGCUUAACCAUGGCGAAUGAAAGUACGUCAAAGGCAAUUGUUUGUCCAAGGGGAAGCUAUUGACUUAUGUGGCAUCGUGAGGCAAGAUGGAGUGAUAUCACUGCAGAGGCCUUGCAGGUUUGGCUUGACUUGUCGAGCAGCCUGUGAGUGCUGGUAGAGGUAUGGCUUGAGGGUGCUUAGUGCGAUCUUGUCAAAAUGGUCUUUACCGACCCGUCUUGAAACACGGACCAAGGAGUCUAAC
rnacentral:rRNA from 1 species